rnacentral:tRNA from 2 species
CAAAAUAUAGCUAAACUAGUAAAGCACCUCCCUUACACCGAGGAGACACCCGUGCAACCCGAGUUAUCUUGA